UGGACCAGUGACAGGUGCUGCAUGGCUGUCGUCAGCUCGUGUCGUGAGAUGUUCGGUUAAGUCCGGCAACGAGCGCAACCCUCCUCAUUAGUUGCUACCAUUCAGUUGAGCACUUUAAUGAUACUGCCGGUGAUAAGCCGGAGGAAGGCGAGGACGACGUCAAGUCAUCAUGGCCCUUACGAGCUGGGCUACACACGUGCUACAAUGGUAAAUACAAUGGGAUGCAAUACAGCGAUGUGGAGCAAAUCCCCAAAUUUACCUCAGUUCGGAUUGUUCUCUGCAACUCGAGAGCAUGAAGUUGGAAUCGCUAGUAAUCGUGGAUCAGAAUGCCACGGUGAAUACGUUCCCGGGUCUU
rnacentral:rRNA from 1 species